CUUGUAUUAUGACAAUUGGUGUAUUCAACUAUGUUCUUUGUACACUGAAAAACCUCUUCAAGCAAAAAAUCUAUAUUGUUAGUCUUAUCCGGUCUCUUACACAAGCUGUCAAAUAUUGAUAUAAUUUUGAAACCUCUAAAAAUACAGUGUGCCAAAAGUAAAACCCAACAGCCCAUUUUGAAACGGACUUCAAAUUGAACCCGGCCCAUUACCAAUGUGAGAACCUUUUGUUUUCCUGGAAAUUUGAAUUCCACUAACAACGGUCAAAUAGUUGAAGCUCGCUCUCUCCAUUCACAAUCACGGUCCUGAGCCGUCCGUUUACGUCGGGGGAGGUCUCUCAGCUUUGAAAGCUGAAAUGGCAUACAUACUGUGCCUUCCAAAAUAGCAAAACAGAAGCAAAAAUGGAGGAUGGUCAUGGAUGAAAGAAGCCCAUUCGUCUGAGGCUUUUGGAGGUUCUUUUCAGCGGCGCAAAGAAGUUGAAGGAGACAAGAAUAUGGCUCUCAGUAACAGCAACGAUCGCUGGGCAUUGCUGGUGUAGGAAUCUAGUUUGAUUGACAAGAAUAUGGCUCUCAAGAACAGCAACGAUCACUGGGCAUUUCUGGAAGAACGCAAUCGAUGUGGAUCUCACAUUAGAAUCCAACUCAACUAUGUGGGUUCUAGUAUACUCAGAAACAAAUAUUGUCUUAUUCCCACACCUUUUUUUCUUUAAUUUUCAGAAAUGGUUUAUAAUUCAGAAAGUAUAUGUGAUCACCAAUUUCUAAUUCUUCUUUUUUUGAUACAUUGCUUGUAGUGAUGAUGAUUGUUUUCACCUAAGUCAUUUGUAAGUACCUUUGAUCCUUUGAUUAUGAGGCAUUCUCCAUUUUGAUUAUGAUACAUAACAUGUUUUAUUUAGAAUCAUUUUUUUUGCAUUUUUCUGAGAAAUAAAUAGGGGUCUAGAAUUGCUUCUUGAGCAAGUUUAAUAGUUAAUGUAUUAUUAUAUUACAUAGCUAGCUGUAAUUUAUUAGUUAUAGGUUAUUGUAGAUAGCUAUGUGUAUAUACCUCUCUUUCAAUAGUUCUUAGCACUAAGUUUGAUACAUUUCAAGAGACAAAAACCCUUAUAUGCUUCUCUUUAUUACCCUUGCAUCAUUUUCUUCCCAAAGUUUCUUCUAUUCCUCUCAGAUCUUUCUCUCUGUUACUUCCUACCCAUUCAUUUGCCAUGGAUGCUGUAGACUUUAGGUCCUUAAUGCUUUUCAGGGGAGGUCUUAAAUCUGAUGCGCCUGUUUUCAACAAGUCAUUGUACAACCUUUCCAAUGCCUUAACCUAUAAACAAAGAGGGUGAUUUUGAGGCAUUCGCAGAGUUGCAUCGCGAUGUGUUGGGAGCUCUGGCCUCAUGUUGGAGGCGCGUGGGGUAAAUGUGUUCAUUAACCUGUAUGAAGGCAAGAAGGUGACUUGGCCAGAUGUCCGUAUCCACCCGUGGUAUUUAAGCAUGGGUCUCAAACUCCCCAUGUUUAGCUUCAUCAAAAAGGUACUAGCCCAUUAUCAGCUUGCCCCUAUUAAUCUUACCGCUACUACCUAUAGGGUCAUGUAUGCUUUAGAGCGCUUAAACAUGAUUUAUGAAGCUGGGUUGGGCCUUCCUGAGUUUUGAGCCUUAUAUCUAUUAAAGAGCAUCUCCACGAGUUCGAGCUACUUUUUCCAGAGUUGCCAUGCCGGACGAUGGAAUCGAACUUGGAUUAGGUUUGCCUAACCUUACAAUCGUGACGUACUUCGAGUCAUAGGGAAUUAGGAGGGUGACAUUACAGGCCGUCACAUUCUCAUGAUACCUGCGACCUUAUCUACUAUUUUGGAUCGUUCAUCCAAACCGGGAUUUUCACAACAGAAUGAAGGAUGUUACCACGCGGUGUCUUGAAGAGGUGGUGAUUGAAAAAGUUAGUGAUUAUUUGGACGUGAAAAUGCUAAACAUAGUUGUCAAAGUUCCCAAAGAUGACCAGACGGAUUCAAGGGCAACGAAGAGGAAAACUGCCACCUUUUCUCAGAAAGAAUGCAGGUCAUCGUGGGGAAAGGUUCAAGAGGAAGUUGUCGAUUUAUGCAAAUUUGGUGGCAUUAUAGAAGGUGAAGCGGAGUCAAUGGCAGAGCUGCUGGCAAUUAAAUCUAGACCUACAUUGGUGAUUAAAGGAGGAGAAGUGGACCCGGAAGAUUAAGUACCUCUAAGAAAGGAGCGACUUCGCAAGGCAAAUGAAGUGGCUGUUGCCAAGUUCAUGAAAAGAAAGACAGAGUUGGUUGAGGCUAUUAAUGUUGAGAAUGUUGUGGAGGUCGUCAAUGUUGGUAAUGUUGUCGUGCCUGCUGAUGGGGGGACGAAUCCCGUGGAGUCGAUGUUGAAGUUUACUGGUAGAAUGGAGCUGAAGGACGUGGGAGUUUCAUCCGCCAGAAUGGACUUUUAGGUUUCGAUCACUCAUAUCGCCAGAGUGACACCUUAGGCCGUAAAAGCCGACGGUCUUGACAAAGUGGGCACUAGAGAGUUUAUGAUAUGGAAGCCACUAGAAGCUGGGUUAUCUUUUUCUUAGAAGGUAGUUCCUCGCCAUUCGCUCGCUUUAGAGGAUAGUCGCCAUUGAUGUAAUGUUGCCCCGAGUUUCUAGAUUGAGAAUUAUGUAUUCAAUAUCUUCAUCCGCCUUGGAUUCAGGCGUACAAUCGUCCUGAGGUUCAAGAUCAAUGUUGAAUUGCUUAAUGUCCUCAACAGACCCCCCAUAUUUUGAUUGCUAUGCAAUGUUGAUGGCCGGAGUGGAAAACUCUGCCCGGUUGGGCUUAAGGACAAGGUUAAAGCUCGAAACAACAUAGGAAUAAGCGAUUGCCUGGUCAUCCUCAAUCUCAUUUACCCAUGUUAGAGUAGGAUACCAGAUCACUUGAUAGUAAGUGGAAGGGACUACCCUCAUAAUAUGUAUCCAGUUCCACCCUAAGAUCGCGUUUUGAGGCGAAUAUGUGUCUAGAACAUGAAAGUUGAUCAUAGAACUAUAAGGGUCGGCAAUGAUCUACAAUUUGAGUCCUUAAAGUGACAGGUGUCAUUUCAAAAUGCUAAUAGAAUCAACCAAGUUUUCUUGAUGUCACUGAGUAACCCCAUCCACUCCAUGGUGUCUUUGAAGAGUAGAUUGACUUCGGCUCUGAUAUCGACUAAGAUACGACUCACCUUCGUGUGGGCUAUCUGUAGAGUGACAUUGAGUGCGUCGUUGUGCGAAGUGCAAACUCGCUCCAUGUCUCAAUCCGAGAACAUGAUUAUGUUGCUAUCAAUGGGGAGAUCUUUAUUGACAGAGGCCACUAUCUUUAGUUUCUUACUGGUAAUUCUCUGCUCUUUUUGUGAGGUCCCUAGAUACUUUUGGGGGUAAAUGCAGUUGAUAUGAAAUAUCGACCUUUUCAUAGGUCUUUCGUCUCAAUCACUUUUAUUCUGGUGUCAUCUCGCUUACCUUCCUUCGCAUUUUCAGCUACGAACUUCCAACAAUGGCCAUGGUCACGUAGAUCCUCGAUGAACUCCUUGAGGUUUAUGCAAUUUCUUGUUGUGUGAUCGAAGGUUUUCUGGUAGUUACAAUACUCCUUAGAAUUUGGGAUUCGAAUUCGUAUGGAACAAGGCUUCUUAAAGUAAGGCUUGUUUCUGAUUUCAUUCAGUAUGUUGUUGAGGGAUGUGUUCAGCAGAGUGAAGAAAGAUGAAUCUCUACGAUGCUCUAUGCGUGGUCCGUUUGCCUUGCUCGUUUUCCUUUGCCUUCGCUAUGUUUAUAUCAAGGCUCAUUCGUUUUUCCUUUUUUUUUCCGACGAGCACGACAUCAACGAAGGGCCAGACUUCAAUGGUUUCCCAUUCCGCCAGUAUUCCUCAUCUCAGAUGACUAUCUCUUCUACCUUGUCGAAGCAUUCUGUAAGUGUGAUAUACUCAUACAUGGGUUUAUGUGACUAAGUUCAAAUUUAAUGAGAAGUCCAUUUUUGAAUGUGGUGGUUGCCAUGCGGUCAUCAGGUCUGUCAACCUUGGCGUAAUCUGUACGGAAUCUUUAUAUGUAGUUUCUGAGGCUUUCAUUGUCUUUCUAAUGGAUCAAUAACAAGGUAUCCGUUUCAUGCUUCACCUCCUUAUACGCAGAGAAAGCCUUCAUGAAUUCAUCGUUGAGGAUCUUGAAGUCAGUGAUGGAUUUGGAAAAGAAUUCUGUGUCAUGGCAUUUCCCUUAAAUGUGGUAGGGAACAUUUUACAUAUUAGGGAAACAUUGUAGUUGUACAAGGCCACAACAUUCCGAUACGAAAUUUUAUGGCUUAAAGGGUCGGAGUCCACCUUGAAAUAUUUCACCAUUAACUGCGUGAACUUGUCUGGUGGUGCUUCAUACGCCAGAGCAUUGGAGAGGGAGUCACCGCCGUAGCAUGACUGUGUGCCUCCAUCCAAUGGUGCCUGGCUUGCACCAUUCAGAUAAAAAUUCAAACGUCUCUGGUUGAUUGGAGAAACUCUAGUCUAGCUCUGUGCACGUUGGGACUGCAUGACUGGGGGAGGCUUUAAUGGUGCAUCUCUUGCCCUUAGAGAGGUUUCUGCAGCUGUUGGGGCAUGUACCAAAGUUGGGGCAUUCGGGGGAAUGUCGUCCUCUAAAGAGCCUAGAUAUCCCAUCCAGGUAACACAGAUUCUGGCAUUGUCGCAAUCUAGGGUAGAUUUCAGUCGCAACAAGCGUUUUUUGACAUCAUGUGUAGAAGACGCGUGCUGCGUAAAAGAGUCUGCAAUAAUGGCAAGAGUGGGUGUAGGGUAUCUCACCAUUUCUGCCUUAAGGAGACUGAAGCCGGAAAAAUCAGCCAUGAUAGGAUAAUAAUGAGUAAGACCUACAUAGAUCAAGAAUAGGCAAACGUUGUGAGUCCAAGCGCCGAGAAGGGUGGUUCUCGGUGUAGAGGCUUCGAUGCCUAAGCUAAUGGUUGUAGAGAGAAGGGUGUAAAGUGUGUUUCUGAGCUGUUCUGGGCUUACCAUUGGUGAGAGGUCACAAGGCUCAUUUAUAGGCCAUUUGCAGAGUCGGUAAAUGUCACCCGACAUUCCCCUUCAUGGAAGGGAAUAAAGGGUCCGAGAGGAUACCAUUUUCACAUACAGACGCCAUAUCGGAGAAGGACAAUUUGUCUCUUCUUCAUCAUAGGUAAGAGGAGUGGUUGUGUUAGAUCGAUCCCCUUCAGGGGUAGACUUAGCCUUCACUUCAUUCCGGGUCGUACCUGACGAUGCUUGUCUUACCAUAUAGCCUAGGUAGGGCAAAUCCUCCAUUUCCUUAGCCAACACCAUAUAGCCAAGUAACGCAGACAAAACGAAAACAUUGUCCAGUUCCCUUGAAUCUACCAUUAACACGUCUCCAUGGAAUAUUGGCUCCAGAACCAGAUACGGAGCUUUCCCCAAAGUGGCAGGGCAGGAUUCUUUCCACCCACAAGAAUGUCGGCCGUCCGCGAAAUGAUUUUCCCUUCGCUGGAUAACCUAACCUCCAGUAGCUUCUAAAUCUAAGACCUCUGAUGGGCUCUGAACUCACUCUACCCUCUUUCACAAAUCGCGCUUCCCUUUUUGUCGGCAAAAUGACUCAUCCCUUAGUUACUCCGCUAGAUCUUUUCUCAGUAGGCUCAACGAUGACAUUCCCUGUAUCUACUUUUAGAUUAAUCACUUCACCAGUACAUUUAAUAACAGAAACAUCCCUAGAAAAAUCUACGCCAGCUUCAACAACUUUGGGCUCAGCUUCUCGGUGAAUCAUUAUCCCCGAUUCAUUUCCUCAUUCCACGAGCUUAUCCAUACCUUGCUUUUCUCAAUAGCUACGGACCAUUUCGCUACUUUGUUGUUCCCAAUAAUCAUUGACAAUUCUUGCACUCUUACCCUUACCCUUAUUAGGAACUGUGAUCCCAACUUCUCUAGCAACCUUAAUCAGCUUUGGCACAAGAAUAACACGAAACCUAUAAAUCUUUGCAAUCUCUUCCCUAGCAUUUUUCUUAGCCACCGUACUUCUAGAAUACUAGGACUCCGCACAUAAAAGAAUCACCUCUCUUUACUCGGUUGUAAUCUUCAACCACCUUAGUGACCUUUAGCUCUAAGCGUUCUUCAUCACUUCCACCAAUCAUCCAUGCAUGUCUCAAUCCGGAUGGGCAAUCUACUGGCAUUCCCUAUGUCUACAAGGAUCACUGCAUAGGUCUUGUUGAUCAGAUAUGCCAUGAUAGCUCUAACUUUAUCCAAAAGGUCAUCCAACGUAACAGAUUUGGUCUGAAUGACUACAACUUGUUGGUGUCACUCAUUGAAAACAAUUAACACAUCGUGUUGUAGUCUUGCGUGGGAAGGUUCUUAAUUCACAAGUAGUUCCAUUUCCAGGCAAUGCGGCUUUAGAAGAAAAAUCUUGAACUGGCAGGGAUCAUCUUCAAAAAAUACAAUGCUUUGAACUUCACGAAGCCCAUUCAGGUACCAGGGAUAGAUUCAUCGAAAAUGCUUGUUCCGCGUAGGCCUAAUUCCAGAUGGCAUCCACCCAGAACUGCCCUACAAACUUUUGCAGUGCCGCCUUAUUAUACAUCGUUGGCGGCAUCAGAGGGCUGCACCUUGAAUUGUUGAAAACAGGAAUAACCCUAGAUGAAUGGGCAACAAUGAUUAAGGCUUUUGAAUUGGGUGACACCAUCACAAGGUUGAGGAAGAAUUGAGAAUAUCAUAGAAGGAUUUUCAACAGUUGCUGGGUAAACUUGAUAACUCAAGAACCAAGGUUUGCAAGAUAAAAAAUGAAGACAGAAAGAGGGAAAAAAGAAAAGGAAAAGACUGAAUGCAAUUGGCGACGUUAAAAGCAAUAGACCAUGUGGCUAUUUGUCCACCGUGAUCGACGGGCUCGUGCACGCUUUCCACCUUCAACAGGCAUGACACCUAAACUAAUAAUGAUGUUUAGUAGAAACAAAGCGUCCCUGAUGCACCUAUUGGGAAGAAUAUGAAACCAAGCGUCAGGGAUAGUGGUUCCCGGUGUAGGUAUUUUGAUGAUCAAGUUAGGAAGUGAAUGAAAUGGAGGAUUGAGAUGCUAUGAGUAUGGAUAAAACUUAUAGUGUCUAACCAUUCUGUAAAGAUUUAGGAUGCCUAUUUAUAGGCUAUUGGGGAGUCAUACUAGAUGCUUUGUCAACUCUCUGAAACAUCAGAGUUGUCGGAAUUAAAGGUAAGGCUCUGUUCACUUAAACGUUCUAUUGCAUAGGUUUAGCUCCCUGCACAUCAUGGGUCAGUCUAGUUAUUCAUUUGCAUAGUAUGCUCUAUCACAUUGCCUAUGCCUAUCAUUCUGACCAGACUUUCUAUGUAGCAGAGUGGAGAUGACGUGGAGGCGAUUAAACAUGAUGUGGGUGCCUAUAAUGCCCAUUCUUCUCUGAGUGGCUAGAAGACAAAUUGCAUAAUCCUGUUAAGGCUCUGACCUAGGGCAGUGAGAUUUUUUUCUUUUAAAACCAAGUGUGAUCUUGCUAGAGCUAUCAACAGAAGUGUGGUUGCCCUUUAACCUAUAAUCUGUUGAAAUAUCUUGGGGUCCCCCUGCUUUAAGAAAGUUUCAGAAUGGUCGUGUUGGACUUAGUUAGAAACCACCAAGUUUUAGUAUAUCGCGAUAGGAGGAAUGGGGUACCUCACUCACUCCGGCUAGGUCUACAUGAUGGACUUGUAUAUUCAUUGUUACAGCUUUGCCCCAGAGUACCUCAAGGUGUAGUUAAAUAAGACCACACCACCUUACCCAAAGUAAGAUUGGAGUUGCCAUCAAAGGGAUGCAAUCUUGUCCUAGAUUACCUGUUAGUAACUGUAGAGAUUUUAUUCCAACAUUAAUUAUUUGGUGCAAAGUGGAAGUUGUCCCUCUGAGCUAGAACUUGGAUAUGGGAAAGACUAGCAAACACUUAGCACUUUUUGGAUAGUCUCUUAAGGAGCCUGUUGAGUGAUCCAUACAAAUGGAGGCAAGAGUUAAUGCUUGACGUCGAAGUUAAGGCGCGCACAGAACUCUAGUUUGUGUCAGAGAUGCUUUGUUUCCGCCAACCGUCACCAUUAGUUGGGGGUAGCACGCCCUUUAUAAAUGGUGGAGCAUGUGCGAGAUUUGGUCCGUCGAUCACGGUCGACAAACCGCCACGUAGCCCAUUGCCUCUGUUCGUCUAACGCCGCUUAUUAGGCUUUAAGUAUUUAAACCCACUUCAUGACUUUUUCCUUAUUUCUUUUUUCACUUCUGAUCAUGCCCUUGUUUUUUCCUUCUUAAAUUUAUCUAGCAAUUUUCAAAAUUUUUUUUUAUGAUUUUUCUCAGUUCUUCCUCAAUCUUCCUAACUCAAAAACCCUUCAUGAAGGAUUUUUUCCGGCAAUUCAAGGUGUUGUCUUCCAAUGUUGCCAACAAUGUACAAUGAGGUGAGGCUGGAAAAGUUUGUGGAGGAGCAUUAGGCAGUUCUUGGCCAAUGCCAUAUGGGGUUAGAAUCACGGGGAGCAAGUAUUUAAGAUUGCUUGAGUUUGGGGUGGCUCACCACCUUUACAUCUGAAUCUAUCCCUAUUACUUAAGCUUGGAAUUAAUAUUCUUGAUGUCUAGAAUUGUGAAUUAACCGUUGAUUCACUACGGCCUUGUUCUUCCAACCUCACUUAAAUUGCUUACCGUGUUCUCACCAUUAACCGGGAUGGGCUUUGCAGCAUUUAGAGCAUUGUCCUUAUUGAAGAUGUUCCUUGCCAAUUCAAGAUUCUUCUUCCAAAGCCACACCGGGGACCCUUAUUACCAAUUCGCUCGCGUUGGGUGACGACUCCUCUCACUUCUCUUUUGGUCUAGGAGACUCUGGUACAAGCUUGAGCUUGAUAGGCUUUCCCAUCUUUUUGUAUUAUGUCCUAAGCUACAAUUUCUUCCGCCUUAUUUAAGCACUCCGACAAAGUAAAAAACUCACAUUUUGGCUUGUGGAGUUUCUUGUUACUCUCAAGCAUAAUAAGAAGGCCCUUCUUGAAAUUUGUGGCAGCCAAACUAUCAUAUGGUCUAUCCAUUUCUACGAACUCCGUUUGGAAUUAUUUUAUGUACUCGCAGAGACUUUCUCCUUUCUUUUGCCUUAUUAGGAAGAAAAUGUAUGUCUCGCUCUCUUCGCUCCCCUGUAGGCGAAGAAAGCUUUCACGAACUCCAUGUAGAGGGUCCUGAAAUCCGAAAUGAACCCAGAUGAAACCAACAUUCCAUUCUAGAUUAAGGGAACACUUUGUAGAUCAAUGAGUCAUUAUUGCCAUAUAGAGCCAUAGCAUUUCUAUAUGAUAGAAUAUGGUUGGAGGGGUUAGACUUUCCCUUUAAAUAUUUUACUCGGAGUUGAGUAAACUUAUCCCAUAUCAGAUUUGCGAAGAGGGGUCAUCUUCGACUGCCGACUGCAGUCCUUUUUGGGAGUGAGUCCGGCUGGAGCCGCCAAAAUCAAAUUUAUGCCGUCUGGGUUAUUUGGAGGUGCCUUUGUCUAGCUCUUCAUGCUGCGGGAUUGCACGAUAAGCGACACUUCUACGAAAGUCACUCAUACACGAGAAAGUAUUUUUGUAGUUAUAGAGGAAGAGUCAUCGCGCUGCGGUAUUCAUUUACCCUUUUUGGAUGAGAGCAGACCUUAAGAAGGGUGUAAAAGGUUAGUUAACCCUCUUUAUAAGGAGAGCAGACCUUAAGAAGGGUGUAAAAGGUUAGUUAACCCUCUCCAUAAGGAGAGCAGACAUUGAGAAGGGUGUAAAAAGUCAAUCUACCCUCUCUUGGUGUAGAGCAUAGAAGUCGUUGAGUAUGUAGUCAAGCAAUGUUUAUGAUCCAUCUUUAUAGAGCCUUCUCCAUAGGCAGUGAUGAAGGUCUUUCUUACGAAUAUGUCUUUAAUCUGGAACUAUUAGAUCUUGGUCAUUUUAUUGUAGUAGGACAAGAGCUGCUGCCCGAUAAGCUACUAUUUGGUGACAACCUUCUCACAUUCUUCCUUUGCCAGGUACAAGUUAGUGGCCACCUCAUUGUUCUGCUCUAAAUUUGGCAGUAUAGUGCUGAUGGUUGGCAUAACGAUGUUGGGAUGGAUGAUUGCCUCAAUGCCAAAUGCCAAGGAGAAGAUAGUUCACCAAUAACUUAUCAUUUGCUUGUAUGACACGUUCAUAGGAGGUUGUCUGGCCACUUCCCUUUCUUAUGUAUAAGAGGCUUCUUGAGGCAAUCUAAGAUAGUCUUGUUGGAUGUCUCAUCUUGCUCAUUUCCCUAGGGGUAUCUUGGAGUGAACAUGUGAUGUGGGCCGUUGUUAGUGACGGUGUAAUGCAGGAUUCCAAAUCAGCAAAAGAUGUUCUUCUAGAUAAAUUUCUCUAUAUCCGUCUCGGGGUUGAGCCUCAACACAUUUGGUGAAGUAGUCAGUUGCUACAAUCAUCAUGUCUCUGCCCCAGUAGUAGGCGGCAUUGGUCCCACCAUGUUGGUUGCUCACUACAUGAAUGAGCAAGGGCUCGUUUGCUGAUGAAGUACGAUGGCAAUUGUUGCACCUUUGUACAAGUUUCUUAGCAACUUGAUGCAUGGUUCGCCAGUAGUAGCUUAAGUUAAGAGCUUUCUGAGGGAAUCCCACUCUAGAGUGGUUGCAACAAACGUCUUCAUGGAUCAAGCUCAUAACCUUCAGGUCUUCAAGAAGCGCCACACUUUCGUGCUUUUUUCGGU